UCUGGUUGAUCCUGCCAGUAGUCAUAUGCUUGUCUCAAAGAUUAAGCCAUGCAUGUCUAAGUAUAAGCAAUUUAUACAGUGAAACUGCGAAUGGCUCAUUAAAUCAGUUAUCGUUUAUUUGAUAGUUCCUUUACUACAUGGUAUAACUGUGGUAAUUCUAGAGCUAAUACAUGCUUAAAAUCUCGACCCUUUGGAAGAGAUGUAUUUAUUAGAUAAAAAAUCAAUGUCUUCGGACUCUUUGAUGAUUCAUAAUAACUUUUCGAAUCGCAUGGCCUUGUGCUGGCGAUGGUUCAUUCAAAUUUCUGCCCUAUCAACUUUCGAUGGUAGGAUAGUGGCCUACCAUGGUUUCAACGGGUAACGGGGAAUAAGGGUUCGAUUCCGGAGAGGGAGCCUGAGAAACGGCUACCACAUCCAAGGAAGGCAGCAGGCGCGCAAAUUACCCAAUCCUAAUUCAGGGAGGUAGUGACAAUAAAUAACGAUACAGGGCCCAUUCGGGUCUUGUAAUUGGAAUGAGUACAAUGUAAAUACCUUAACGAGGAACAAUUGGAGGGCAAGUCUGGUGCCAGCAGCCGCGGUAAUUCCAGCUCCAAUAGCGUAUAUUAAAGUUGUUGCAGUUAAAAAGCUCGUAGUUGAACUUUGGGCCCGGUUGGCCGGUCCGAUUUUUUCGUGUACUGGAUUUCCAACGGGGCCUUUCCUUCUGGCUAACCUUGAGUCCUUGUGGCUCUUGGCGAACCGGGACUUUUACUUUGAAAAAAUUAGAGUGUUCAAAGCAGGCGUAUUGCUCGAAUAUAUUAGCAUGGAAUAAUAGAAUAGGACGUUUGGUUCUAUUUUGUUGGUUUCUAGGACCAUCGUAAUGAUUAAUAGGGACGGUCGGGGGCAUCAGUAUUCAAUUGUCAGAGGUGAAAUUCUUGGAUUUAUUGAAGACUAACUACUGCGAAAGCAUUUGCCAAGGACGUUUUCAUUAAUCAAGAACGAAAGUUAGGGGAUCGAAGAUGAUCAGAUACCGUCGUAGUCUUAACC
rnacentral:rRNA from 1 species